GUCCUUUAUAGCAAAACUCUUCAAGAGGCGUCUGCACUUGCUGUCUCCACUCUCACUUCUCUCCCAUUCUCUUUUUCAUUCAAGUAUGUAUUCCCAAUACUCAAACUAAACCACUUUUGUUAAUAAUCUAUAAUAAUAAUAUUGUAGUGCCUACUAUGUAGCUGACAGCGUUCUAAGCCUUUUACCUUUAUUAAAUCCUCACAACAAUCUUAGGAAGUAGGUGCUGUUAUCAUGUCUUUUACUGAUGACACUGAAGCAUAGGUUAAGUAACUCAUCCAAGGUCAUUACAGCUAGCAAGUGGUAGAGCCAUGAUUUGAAUCUAGACAGUCUCCCAGA
rnacentral:lncRNA from 1 species